GCUCCCUCGAAUCGAUAAAGUCCCUCUGCACCGUGAUCAACCGCGAAGCUUCCUCUCCACCGUGAAGCUUCCUCGGCGCGGUGAAGCUCACACGACGAAGCUCCCUCUUCACCGCGAAGCUCCUUCUUCACCGCGAAGCUCCAUUGACACGACGAAGCUCCCUCAUCACCGCGCAUCACCGCCACCGCGCAUCACCGCCAUGCAUCGGUCGUCCGCCGCGUCUGAGCUACCGCGACACCGUGUCUUACCCUCACCUCUCUCUGGCGCCGAUUCCGAUCUCGCUUGCUCUGAGAAAUUGUGAUUCUCAUGCUGCGACGAUGAAUUAGAAUACUGCUCCAUCUAGGAAACUUUGUUCUCUGACCUUCACUCCGAGAUCUUCUGCGAAUGCUCAUCAAUUACACUUCACCAUGUUCAUCGAUUUUGGAAGGUUAUGUGAGAGUGGAGAACUGCUGUGCUGGAUCAGAUAUUGGCCUAGAUGUGGGAACCACCUGAAUCUAAUGGGAUGCUUUCAAAAACGCUAGCAUGAACAAGAGCUGUAAACAGAAUCAUGGAACUCCCGCAAGAUAGUAAGGCUAGCCAAGCACACAGAUAGUCCCAAUCUUCUCCCAGUCCAAAAUCCUGAUGAAUAUGAGGUUGUUGAGCUAAUCUUGAAUCAGGUCACAGUAUCUCCAAGGAUGAUAUAAUCUCCAAGGCUUUUCAGGGUUAAGCACUGGAUCAUUUAAAAGGAUGAUGAAAGUUUGAGGAAAUGGAAGGAGCAACUUCUUGGAAGUGUUGACAUGUCUUUUGUUGGAGGUACUUAGCUUCUCUUCCAUUUUAUUUGAUCUGAUGAGUAGAUAAUCUUAACAAAUUAUGGAUUGGACCCAGUGCUCUGCUUUUUGUUAAGAUUUCCUGGCAAUGAUGGGUAAUCAUUUCAUGUUACUCUAAUUACUGUUAGGUUGCAAGUCCUCUCAUUCCCUUGUAGUUCAACCAAAAUAGUGUACUUUUAAUGAAAAAUAAUAAAAUAUUAUGGGAGAUAUUAUUUUCUAAUGCUUUUAUUGUCAGAAAUUGCAUUUUCAUUUUUUACUUUUCAAUUUAGUGGAUCUUAUUCUUGCAUAUGCUGCCAUAUAGGUAAUGAAUUGAAUGGUUAGGGCAUUGGGGCGAGUGUAAGUUUUAUGUAGGGGUAUAAUUGGAAGUUUAUUUUUUUUGGCAGCUAUAAAGCCAUUUCUGGCGGUUUAGCACCGACAAAACGUGUUUUAUAUGUGUUCCCUUAUAGACAACGGUUUUAUAUGUGUUCCCUCAUAGUCAACGAAAACGGUUUUCUAUUACACUAAAGGAAAACAGGUUGCUGACCGUUGUCCUAGGAUAGCCAGAAAACCGUUUCCUACAAUACACCAAAGAAAACGGUUUUUUCUUAGGGUUCCCUUUGAUCAGUAAAACCGUUUUCAAAAGAAUAGGCAACGCCUUAGACUACCACAGUUUGGAAACCGUUUUAGAAUGCAAUAGAGAACGGUUUUU